rnacentral:lncRNA from 1 species
GAUUAACACAUCCUCCAUAACUUUUUUGGGGAUCCUCACUAAACGGUCUGCCAAUUGUAAUGCGAUUUUUGUAGGUUUAAUUCUUCUAUCUUCAAUUUUGUAUUGAUCGAAUAAGGUAAGAUAUUCACACUAGCCCCUAAGUCUAACAAGACCCUAUCAAUGAUGGUUUCUCCAAUGACAUAAGAAAUUAUAGGUAACCUUGGAUCUUUGUACUUAACUAGUAUGUGGCUUGAAAGGUAUGAGCUCACACUAGCCAUUAAGAAGGCUUUCUUGGGAACGUUGGUAUUCUUCUUCUUUAUGCAUAGGUCUUUAAGGAACUU